UACGUAGGGACCAAGCGUUGUUCGGAUUACUGGGCGUAAAGGGCGCGUAGGCGGCGCGGUAAGUCACUUGUGAAAUCUCUGAGCUUAACUCAGAACGGCCAAGUGAUACUGCAGUGCUAGAGUGUGGAAGGGGCAAUCGGAAUUCUUGGUGUAGCGGUGAAAUGCGUAGAUAUCAAGAGGAACACCUGAGGUGAAGACGGGGUUGCUGGGCCAACACUGACGCUGAUGCGCGAAAGCCAGGGGGAGCAAAACGGG
rnacentral:rRNA from 1 species